UACGACGGGGGCUAGCGUUGCUCGGAAUCACUGGGCGUAAAGGGUGCGUAGGCGGGUCUUUAAGUCAGGGGUGAAAUCCUGGAGCUCAACUCCAGAACUGCCUUUGAUACUGGCGAUCUUGAGUCCGGGAGAGGUGAGUGGAACUGCGAGUGUAGAGGUGAAAUUCGUAGAUAUUCGCAAGAACACCAGUGGCGAAGGCGGCUCACUGGCCCGGUACUGACGCUGAGGCACGAAAGCGUGGGGAGCAAACAGG
rnacentral:rRNA from 1 species